rnacentral:tRNA from 1 species
GGUGGGAUGGCAGAGCGGUUGAACGCGCCGGACUUGAAAUCCGGUACAGGGCUCGUCCCUGUCAGGGGUUCGAAUCCCCUUCCCACCG